UACAGGGGGGGCAAGCGUUGUUCAGAAUUACUGGGCGUAAAGGGCUCGUAGGUGGCCGACUAAGUCAGACGUGAAAUCCCUCAGCUUAACUGGGGAACUGCGUCUGAUACUGGAUGGCUUGAGUUUGGGAGAGGGAUGCGGAAUUCCAGGUGUAGCGGUGAAAUGCGUAGAUAUCUGGAGGAACACCGGUGGCGAAGGCGGCAUCCUGGACCAACACUGACACUGAGGAGCGAAAGCCAGGGGAGCAAACGGG
rnacentral:rRNA from 1 species